UUACUCGUGAAUCCUUAUGUAUAUAAAAAUCAUGGAAAAGAAGUAAAGUCAUUAAAGUGAGUUAAGUUACACCACUAAUUACGACAAUAUGACUUCAAUAUAUAAAACUUUUUCUUACUUUUGCUAAACUUACAAAAGCAGAUUGCAUUACAAAGCAAAUCUGCACACUUAAGAGAAAGCUAAGCAGAUCUAAACCAAACAAUAUGCUCCAAUUCAGUGUUAACAAUCACUUCAUGCAACUUUAAUAGCUUUCCUACUUCUGUUGAGGAAGCGAAAGACAGACCAAUGCAAACAUCAAGAAAAUGGAUGAAGAAAUCUUUGAAACAAUCAUAUUGAUUGUAUUUUUGAAAAGAGGACUAAAAACUUAUUUAAAAGAUAUGCAACAGACAUUUUAUUUGAAACAUCUCUUUUGGAUCAAAUUUUAAAGUCUCUAAAUAAACUUAUACAUCACUGUCAAACUAGCAAAGAAGAAAUCCAACUAUAAGAUCUACACUAAAACUCGAAUUACGAAUGGAACAGAAACCUCAAAGUUGGUUCUUGGUUGAAAUUUCUUGUUCAAGGCAUAAGAAGACAAGCAGUCAACUCAAAUACACAAGUUAAUCUCAGUAAACUUAGGAUUAGAUAACAUAAAAACUUUGCUUUUCAAACACAUGUAAUAAAUCAUGACUGAGUAGACUUCAAAAUUGACAUUGGCAUACAUAAAUACAGAAUGAUGCUCAGCUACAACAUACCAAAGCUUUUCAGACAUGCCAAAGCAUGAAUCAAAUACAGAAACAUUGACAUACCUCGUUCGUUGCCGAAUAAAAUCUAAGAAGAAAACAAGAUGGAGUUCAGCUACUAUUUCAACCGAAAUCGCAGCAAUCCAACACCAAAUCACUCCUCGAUAACCCAGAAAUUACAGAGUAAAGCAAUAAACUGAAAUAGCCUUGAAAUUCUCUUUUGCUAUAAUUUUGGGCUUCUAGAUCUAAAAAAAGCUCAUUAGCUCGAAAUUACAGCAUCUCUGAGCUACUGUGUUUGUUUUUUUGAAUUUCGAAAUAGCCUUGAAUUUCAAGGCCAUCAUAUCUUCUUUUUAUUCUCAAAAUCCAGAUUUGGUUGUUGAAGUUCUUUCGAAUUUCGAAGGUGACUUCGAUUUUUUCGUGUGUUGAAGAAUGAGAGAGGUUAGAGAGGGGAAUCAGAGAUGAAUAAAGAAGCCCGUUUUAGGAUAUGGGAGCGGAAAAGGAUCUGAUUUUGGUCUCUCCCCUCUCUCUUGCGCCGCUGUCAAUUUUCUUUUAGAGGAGAGGGUCUGAUUUCUUUAUGUGAUUAGAUCUGAAGGAAUUGAAGGGGGAAUUGGGUGUUUUAGGGAUAGAGGGAAUUGGGCCGAUCGGGUAUGGGCUUGAUUUAAAGCAAUUGGGUCAUUUUAAUUUGGCCCAGUCCGAUUUUUGACUUAGAAAAUGACCAUUUUCCUUUCUUUAAAUUGUUUUCUCCUUUUGGCUUUAAAUCAUAAUUAAUUAAAACCAAAAUUGAGUCCUAAAUUAAUCCAAUUUGCAAAAAUAAAAAUUAUUUAUCUAUUUAUAUCAUUAAAACAAAUAGUUAACUUAAAACUACAGAAAAAUACUAAUUUUAAAGACUAAAAGCUAAAUAUGUAAAUUGAGUCCUAAAUUAAUCCAAUUUGCAAAACAUAUGUAAUGCAACAUUUUUUUGUAUGUUUUUCUAUGAUUUUAAGCUAUUAAAUAUGCAAUUGAACCCAAAACCAAACAAAGAAACUCCUAAAAUUCAUAAAAUAAUAAAAAUUAUUUUUGGACUAUUUUUAGGAGUAAUUUUAUAUAUGGGGCAAAAUAUUGGUGCUCACAUCUGCCCCUCUUUUCUCGAGAACAUGAAGAGUUUUCGGGCAAAGAUAAAGUGAGCAAUUAUGAAUAAUAUUUGCCCAUUAGAUACUCCAUGGGAAGGAUUUUUUGAAAAAGUCUGACCGAACCUUGCUACUGAGGUUGCCUACAUAUCCUUGGCUAUAAGGGAAUCAGAUUAGUGUAGUUCUGGAAAUUUUGGUAGCUGGAACUACCGAGAAGCUAUGAUUUCACUGUUGUUGUUGUUGUUGUUGUUACUGCUUGCUGAGCUCCUUAUUACACCAAAAUCAAAAAUGAAAAAGACUAACUAAGUCUAUCAGCUACGAGUUACAAGAUUCCUAUCUAUGAGUCUUUUGAAGCUUGAUCUUGAGUCUUGGCUAGUUCUUCAUGCGGACUCUGAUUUGAAUCUUGAUGUUUGUUAGCUGCAAGUGCUGGUUCAUUCCUCUUUGGCUUUUCGGAUCAAGACAGUGCCGCGCCCCCUUUUUCCUUUUCGCGGAAAUCGGGUUCAUGACAUUUUGGUAUGGGACAACUAUUUCCUUUUGGGAAAGGGGUUUGCAAUUUUGAAGAGUCGCCACCUAACGAUUUUAAGGUGCGUUCGGGCACCUAUAGGGUUCAUUUCUAACUAUGUUUAGAUAACCAGAGAUCGGGUAAGAGCUUGAAAUUAUCCUAAAGGGAAGGUGUUAGGCACCCCUCAGGAUCCACUAGUGUGGUUCCCCGCCAGACAGUUUUUAUGAAUUCGUGCAAUUAACAAGUAGACAAGUAGGGCUCAAAUAGUGAGUGUUUGAAAACAAUUAGUGAAAAGCAAGAUUUUUGAGAAAAAUUACAAUCUAAGCCUAAAGGGGGGGGGGGGUCCUAGGCUUUAUAAUAAUAUGGAUCACAUCAAUGUAAUACCCGGUAUGACACUCCUCAAAAGAGGGGAUACACGUGGUAUUAGCACACGGUCAUCAUAUCCAUAUCUACCAUUUCCCUCCCGUGAAGGUAAUUAAAGAGACGGUUGGUCUCGACCCCUAUUGCAUGCUGUUACCCAUCCCUUCCUAUUAGUCCCGGAGGAAUUUAGGACUCUUAUCCUAUAAGAAGGAGGUUCUAGGUAGACCCUCAGGUUUAAAGGCAAAAUACGAAAGCGACAUACAAAACAUACAAGACUGCACUUAGGGGGAAAACAUAGAAGCAAGUAGAAGGCUCUAGUAUACCUCCACAAAUAACGCACAUAGAUAGCAUGACUCAUGCACAGCCAAAGUCUGAAUUCAUAAUCCUAAAGCAGAAUGUUUAAGUGAUAACAGCAGAACCAGAUUUAUUACAUGACUUAGAAAAGAAGUCUGAAUCAGGUUUGCCUACUGAUUUUAACAGUUGAUAAUCAAACAAAGGCAGUUCUAGUUUUAUUUAAGUUAUUACCUAAGGCUUGCCUAGGUGCAAAGCGAUAUGCAGUAGUUGUUCCAAGUUAUUAAGACAGUUUGGAGAUUAUUUUUACCUACAAAGAUUAUUACCAACUUAUUCAUAAAGCAUCACAAUGCGAAAAUUACUACUUACUGCCUUUUCAUGAAUCGGUAAUUAACUAGGCGUUUGAACGAAAUGCAAAAAGAAUCUUAAAACAUGACAUUCUAAUAUGCAAAUGGCAGGGUUGUUGAAAACAGAGUCCCUAAGGCAUGAUUGCUAAAUGUACACGAGAGCUGCAGAAUUGUUGAGAUACGACUUCAUGAGUAACAACUUUUAUUCCAAUGUUGUUAUUGCCCUAGGAGCAGGAUUUCUAAGCGAUAGACAUAAAACAUGGAUUAAUGAAUGAGAUACUGAAGCAAGAAACAUGAAUUCUAAGAAUAUGAUUUCUAAUGCACGUAUGAAUCCUAAGCAUGGUUUCUAUUGAACAAUUAGGAAUAUAAACCUAAUGACAUGUUUUAUACCCUUAACAAAUUAUAGCAUGCAUAUUUACCCUACCCCCUUUCACUAGUCACCCCAAUACUUGUUUACAAAUUAUUACAGGCCAUGUGAGGGAAUUGCAUAAGUAGAAAUGAAAAAUAAGAAGCUACACUAUAGGAAGCCUGAUUAGGACAUCCUCUUUGAGUUAUGUAAUAAACCAUCUCAAGUGCCAAUAUCAUUCCAUAGCCUUUCUCAUACCUGGGUGUGUAAGAGUUGCCUAAGGACCUCCAAGGAUCCCGGGCAGUGCUCACACCCAGAUUGCAUAACCAAGAGUAAGUGCAGUGUGGAAGGGCCAGCUCUUAUGUGUCCAAGUUCAGAGGGAGCUCAAGGGUCCCAAAGCAAGGCUCACACAAAAAGGGCAGAACCUAGUGGUCUAAAAGUAUAUGUGAGAGUGCUUGACAUAGAUUUAGAGGAGUUGAGUUGGAAAACAGUUUUGAAAACAGUCAUGUUUGAAGUAAGUUUGCAAAAAGACAACAGAACAGUUGCUUAAGGAAAAUAGUUUUGAAAAGGGAAAGGGAUAGGAGCAACAACAACACAUACAGAACAAGUUCAAAGAGCAGUACAACUUCAGAAGUUAGGGAAGUAGAGGUUGGAGACACAGAGGGUCCAAAUUAGAAACACAUAAUCAUGGCUGAGAAGAGAUGCACAUAGACCAGCAAAUACAAUGGGUGAGUAUGGGCUAAUUGGUCUUCAAGACACAAACAACUACUUCAGGGGAAUCAUGCUUGAAAUUAUAACAGUAAUAAAACAUAGGGACAGGGUAUGGGAGUAGUCAUGUAGGGGGCCUAUUACACAUAAUCAGUCAUGAAUUAGUAUUAAUCAAGUACAUUAGGAGACAUACUAGUUGAGGGACAUAAACAGGAACAAGUAAACAAGCUUAUUACAUUUGAACAAGGGAGGAAAGAAUUUUAGGCAUGCUGCAGUAAACAAGAAGUGCAAUUCAACAUCAUGAGCCAUUAAAUCAGUGCAGAAAGAGAUAGGGAUUGACAAACAAGAGAACACAUAGAGUUGAGUUUCAGAAUUUGAAUAAGGAACAUGCCAGUUAAAGAAGCAAAGUGCAAAAAAAGUAAAGCAAUCAGAGUUCCACAAUCUAGCCUUGGCUACCAGCCGGCUAGACAAAGCAGUAGCACAAGUAGUAGAGAAAGAAGAGAGAGUUUGAGUGUAUAUGUAUGUGUUCUGAACUAUUGUUCAUUUGUUGAGAGGUAAAACAAGAGUGUAUAUAUAGCACUUUAGGAGUAGAACUAAUAAGGUAAAUGGAAUCAGAGUUCAAUUAAUUAAGGAUCAAUCAACCAAUCACAGAAUCAAUUAUCAUAAGGGAGUCGGGAAUAGACCCCUUAAUUAGGGGUAAUUGAUUAAUGGUAAUAACAAGAGAGUCUAAUUAAGGCAAGAAUCCCAAUCAUAAAAAGCAAAGGAUCAGUAAAAAUCACAAAAUCAUACUAACGGAUAGUUAAGGCAAGUGUGAUCAAUUAAAAUUACAAAUAAGAAAACAAAUAAAGUUCAUGCAUACGAAUCUUUAACAGAACAACUAGGCAACCAAAAUUUCAAAAAUAAUACUGAUUUGAAGAGAGGGAAAAUAUCAGUUUUCCGUAAAUAGACAAAUAGGCAAAAAUAGAAUUUCAUAAGCAUGCAUAAACUUGCCAAGGGAUCGACUCAGAAACCCUAGUAGAGAUGAACUAGGGUAAAAUUCACGAGAUACUAAAUUAGGCUAUAGGGGAAAAUCAUAAAAGUCAAAGCACAACACCAACAAUGUAACAAGUAGCUCGGAAGGACUCAGAGUCGAAGCAAAACAUAAGAAAAUUAGGGCUUUAACAUAAACUAGUUAGGGUCCAGACAAUCUUAGUGGAAAUCAGUCAAUAAUACCUAAGAACAUAUGAUUAACACUCGAAAAUCAUGAAAACUUUGAGAAGACGAGUUUUAGUAAACCCUAGUUUAGAAAAGAGCCACCAAAAUCGAAAUAGUUACUCAAAACAGGAGAUUUUUUUUAAGGAAAAUGUUUAAUAACACUUGAAUCAUCUCAGAUCUAUAAAGAUUUGAGGAGAAUCGAACAGUAGUGAGUUAGGGUUUCGAAAAAUAGCAAAGAUGAAGAAAAAAAUCGGUUAAAACUCAUGGGCACACUUAGAUCUAAGACAGAUGUAAAGAAAAAUGGAAAAUCUCAGGAGCUAGGGUUUCAGAAAAACCAAGGAAGAUGAGAAAACAUUAGAUCGUUACCAAUUUCAGCCGGAAAAGCCAUGGAUCUUACUCGAACGACCAUGGAUGGCCGGAAAGUAGCAUAAGAUACCAUGGGUGGAAGUUGAGCAAGAUUUGGACUAGAUCUCUUCGAGAUCUUUCCACGAAAUCACAAAAACGGGCAGCCAAGAGACGUAGGAGACGAGUAUACGUCUCAAACAACCAUGGGAAUCCAUGGAUUGAGUGAGGAUCGAAGAGGAUUAGGGAUGGUUUGGGUGGCGGCGUCUAGGGUUUGAGUUAGGUUUUCAGAGAGAAUUGGAGAGGAAAGGGGAUUCAAGGGCGGCGGAUUGGUAAGAACGAUUUAGGUUAGGGGGUCGUUUGGGUUAAAAAAGGUAAGGGGAAAUAGGGGCCGUUGAUCUUAGAGAUCAACGGCCAGGAUGAGACGGGUAGGUGGGGAACCAGGUUUGGGUAGGAUUUAAAUUGGGUUAGGGUCGGUUUUUAAUUGAAAUUCGGCUGGGAAAUUGGGGUUUGAUUUGGGCUAUAAUUGAAGGCCAAUUUGCCUACAUUUUAAAUAACCAUUUUUUCCCUUUUUAAUUUAUAAAAAUAGUAAAUAGUUUCUAAAAAAUAAUUUAAAGUACUAAAAUAAUUUAUAAUCAAUAAUUUAAGAAUACAUGAUCCAAUUUUAUGCAUAUAAGACAUAAUUAAAUCUUAAAAGGGCUAAUAUUACAAUUAUGUGCAAAUUAGUUUUAAAAAUAAUAAAUAAAAUUGUAAAAAUAUAUCAAAAUUACUUUAGCCAUAUUUUGGCAUAAAAAUAGAAAUACAAUAGAUGAAUUAUCAAAAUAAUAAUUUUGGAAAUAAUUAUUGGGGAUUUUAUGGAUAAAAAAGGGGAAAAUAAAUCAACUUAAACCUUUUAAAAUUAUAGAAAAAUAAUAAAAACCUUGGAUAUGCUUAUGUAUGCAUAUAUAUGCUAUUUUGCAGGUAUUUUGCAUAUAUAAUAAAUAUAUAGGGAAAAUUUGGGUAUCAACAGGCGAGACAUGCAAAGCUUGUAACUUCACUUCUGUCUUGAGCAGUCCACAUCUUUUCUCCGCUUCUACACUUUGAGUUCACUUCUUUUUCUUUUUCUUUUAUUCUAGAUUGAGACUUCUUCUUUUGGUCGUCUCGAACCCUGUGUCUCUAGGUAUAACCUGCUUAGACACAAAAAUAAAUGAACGAAAUUUUUCUGCCCCAGUUUUCAGUAGGAAAAUUUUGUGAGUUAUUUGUAACCAAAACUCUAUACUACUUCAUUAUUGAAAGCAAUAAAACUCAGAAUUGUGUAUCCUUGGGAAAAAGAUAUUAGAGAGUGGAGACCCUAUAUCUAAAAUGAGAUCAACUAGGGAUUGGAGACCCUAUUGUUGGAAAAUUAUCAACUAGGGAGUGGUGACUCUAUGUUGGCAUCAGGUUAUACUGACAUCAGGUUAUAUUGGCAUCAACUAUGGAGUGGAGACCCUAUGUUGGCAUUAACUAGGGAGUGGCGACCCUAUGUUGGCAUCUGGUUAUGCUGACAUCAACUAGGGAUUGAAAAUCCUAUGUAGGAAUCAACUAGGGAUUGAUAACCCUAUGUUGGCAUCAGGUUAUGCUGGCAUCAACUAGGCAGUGGAGACCCUGUAUUGGAAAAUCAUCGGGUUAUGCCAGCAUCAACUAGGGAGUGGGACCUUAUGUUGGAAAAGUCAUUGGGUUAUGCCAACAUCAACUAGGGAGCGAGACCCUAUGUUGGAAAAGUUAUCGGGUUAUGCCGGCAUCAACUAGGGAGUGGGACCCUAUGUUGGAAAAGUCAUCGGAUUAUGCCAGCAUCAACUAGGUAGUAGGACCCUACGUUAGAAAAGUCAUCGGGUUAUGCCGGCAUCAACUAGGGAGUUGGACCCUAUGUUGGAAAAGUCAUCGGGUUAUGCCAGUACCAACUAGGGAGUGGGACCCACUGUUGGAAAAUCAUCGAGUUAUGCCGGCAUCAACUAGGGAGUGGGACCCUAUGUUGGAAAAGUCAUCGGGUUAUGCCAUCAUCAACUAAGGAGUGGGACCCUAUGUUGGAAAAGACGCAGCUAGGGAUUGGAGACCCUAUACUACCAUGAUUUUGAAUUUUUCUUCUUUUUUUUCUUUUUUUUUUCAUUUUCAUCAUCAUUUUUUCUCUUUUUUUUUUAAUUUCAUAGAAUGAGUAAAUGCGGGAAAGAACUUUGGAGGAGACUUCCCUUUUUGAAGUUGUUGCUGCAAAGCUAUUUUUUAGCUCUUGUGCGGUUUCUUUUUGGUAGCACCUGCCUCUUGCAAGGUUGCUUGUGCAUUGCACCUGUUUCCUGUUUUUCAAACAAAGAACAGUUUGUCAGUUUGAAACGGUGGUUGAUUUUGUGGCCGUGAUUAUUUCAACCACUUGAUCUCGACCCCUUUCAUCUGCAGUUGGUUGUUUCCUGAAUACCGAUUGCAUUUCUGACCCUGGAGAAACUCUGGCUUUUCCAGACUUUGCCAUGACGAUUGGUCGAUGGGACUCAACCUUUUUGACUUUAUUUUGCCUCUAUAGGCUUUUCCUUUCAGACUUGUUGUUUUUCUUUUCUUUUCUUGUUUUUUUAACUUCGGAGCAUUGGGGAACUUUUGGAUCUUCAAACUUUGUCGCAACGGCUAGUCGCAUGGGACUUAACCUUUUCCGACUUUAUUUCGCCUUCAUAGGCCUUUCAUUUCUCGCUUCUUUCUUCCAACCUUAGUUUUAGAGCAUUUGGGAUCCCUUGGGUUUUCAAAUUUUUGCCGAGAUGGUUAGCCGCGUGGGACUUAACCUUUUUCAACUUCAUUUUGCCUUUGUGGGCAUUUGACUUUGAUUUCCUUUCUUUUUAGGAGCUUUUUGAUUUCAAAGCAUCGGCCAUCAUGGCCAGUCGAAGUCGACUCGAUGCACUUGCCAAGGCUGAGUAUCUUCUUGAAUAUUGGCUCGUAUCAAACAAAAGCCCAGUAAAUCAAUCUUUUCAUCCUUUGUUUGUCUCAGUUUUGGAACAGAGUUAGACCGAAAGGGAUUAAAAAAAACAAACAAUUGAAUAGAAAAUGGGUGUAAACAAGAAAUGUCCCUUUUGAGGAAAGGAAAGAAGGACUUAUCUGGAGUACAUGCGAACUUCAAUAAACAUGACAUGCCUUUUGGAAUAGAUGCCUGAUCCGUGUAAAUCGUUCGACUCUCAGAAAUUCAUCACAACCUUUGCCACAAAAUCGAGAAACCUUGUUAGGACUCUGUCGAUUCCGAUGGCUGUGAGGAUCCUCUUUUCGAUUAGGGGUUCCUUUGCGGGUUUUCACCAGCUAACCUCUCUCAUUUCUCUUGUCUCCAUCGCCUUAUAGUGCUCUUUGCGAGUUUUCACUAACAAGACCCUCUCAUUUUUACUUUCUCUGCUUAUUGUCGCCUCACGGUGCCCGUGGGGGUUUUCACCAAUAAGACUCUCUCAUUUCAUUUCUCUCAUUUAGUUGUAUCAGAUCCAAGUAACUAUAUCCUCCAAUUUUGAACAUCUUUACCGAUUGAUCGGAAGAACUUUUGGAUUGAAUUACAACUUUGGAAUCAUUCAGGCGAAACCAUCCCCGAACCAUUAUAACUUCUGCCCCAGUUUCACUUUUGGGGGGAAUUUGAAUUUUUAUUUUGGUUUGACUAAACCCCAGAGAGAGGCUGACUACGUAUCCUUUCGGAAUCAAGUCGAACGUAGUUCAAGGAACUCUGUUUUUUGAUUUUCUUUUGUUUUUAUGUUUUGUUUUGUUCUCUUUCUUUUUCCUCUCUUUUUUCAUUUUUUUUAUUUUCUUUGUCUUUUCUUCCUUUUUUUUUGU
rnacentral:lncRNA from 1 species